rnacentral:rRNA from 1 species
UACGUAGGGUGCGAGCGUUAAUCGGAAUUACUGGGCGUAAAGCGUGAGCAGGCGGUUUUGUAAGGCAGAUGUGAAAGCCCCGGGCUCAACCUGGGAAUGGCAUUUGGGACUGCAAGGCUUGAGUGCGGCAGAGGAGACUGGAAUUCCUGGUGUAGCAGUGAAAUGCGUAGAUAUCAGGAGGAAUACCGAUGGCGAAGGCAGGUCUCUGGGCUGACACUGACGCUCAUGCACGAAAGCGUGGGGAGCAAACAGG